GACGAACGCUGGCGGCGUGCCUAAUACAUGCAAGUCGAACGCAGUGGGGACGGGUUAGUAACACGUGGUUAACCUCCCAUCAGAGGGGAUAACACUUGGAAACAGGUGCUAAACCGAUAUUGAUGGAUUGACCCGCGGUGCAUUAGCUAGUUGGUGAGGUAACGGCUAACCAAGGCCACGAUGCAUAGCCGACCUGGGAGGGUACUGGGCACAACGGGGACGAGGACACGGCCCAGAUUCCUACGGGAGGAAGAAGUAGGGAAUCUGCGGCAAUGUACGAAAGUCUGACCGAGCAACGCGGCGUGAGUGAAGAAGGUUUUCGGAUCGUAAAACUCUGUUGUUAGAGAAGCGGUAUCUAACCAGAAAGCCACGGCUAACUACGUGCCAGCAGCCGCGGUAAUAC
rnacentral:rRNA from 1 species